GGGGGUGUAGCUCAGUUGGGAGAGCGCAUGAAUGGCAUUCAUGAGGUCAUCGGUUCAAUCCCGUUCACCUCCACCA
rnacentral:tRNA from 1 species